rnacentral:rRNA from 1 species
GUGCGUGUGUUUUUUUUAUUUGACCCGAAACUAAGUGAUCUAGCUUUGACCAGGCUGAAGAAAGGGUAAAAGUUUUUGGAGGGCCGAACUGACGUCUGUUGCAAUAGACGCAGAUGAGUUGAGGCUAGGGGUGAAAGGCCAAUCAAACUUAGAGAUAGCUGGUUCUCCGCGAAAUUUAUUGAGGUAAAGCGUUCAAUGAGAGAGAAAGGGGGUAGAGCACUCAUUAGGUAAAGGGGAUCCAAAGUCUUACUAAACGUAUUGAAACUCCGAAUACUUUUCUUUUCUAUCUUGAGCAGACAGACUUAAAGUGCUAAGGUUUUAAGUCAAAAGGGAAACAGCCCAGACUGUCCGCUAAGGUCCCUAAACAUUUUGGAAGUGGAAAAAGCGUUUUAUAACGAAGACAGCUAGGAGAUUGGCUUGGAAGCAGCCAUUCUAUAAUGAAAGCGUAAUAGCUCACUAGUCGAGUUUAAAAGCACUGAGAAUGUAUCGGGGCUUCACAAAAUUACCCAAGCGACAGAUAUUAUUGGUAGCGGAGCGUUUUGUAGACCAUUGAAGAGGUUUUGUGAAAAACUUUGGAGGAUUCAAAAGUGAGAAUGCUGGCAUGAGUAACGACAAAUCAUGUGACAAUCAUGAUCGCCGUAAGUUCAAGGGUUUCUGCGUUCUGUUUUUCAUCGCAGAGUGAGUCGGUCUCUAAGUGUGUUUUUGAGAAAAAACCACGAUGAAACAAAUGAAAGAUGACGAAAUGCUAAGUAGAAAUCAAGAGUGUAUUGGAUGGCUUUGUGGUUUCUAUCAUUUCCAGGAAAACUCUUCAUAAACUGUGACCGUACCCGAAACCGACACUGGUGAACGAGUCGAAUAGACUAAGGCGUGGAGCGAACCAUAUUGAAGGAACUCGGCAAAUUUUUCCUGUACCUUUGGAAGAAAGGAAGCCAAUUUUGGUGACACAAAAAUGGGGGUGACGACUUUUUACUAAAAAAUUAGGACUCUGCAAAAUGGGAACAUGAUGUAUAGGGUCUGACGCCUGCCCGGUGCUUGAAGCUUAACCUGUAUACUGUUUUGGUAUAUUGAGAAGGCCUAGUAAACGGCGGUUGUAACUAUAACAAUCAUAAAGUAGCGAAAUUCAUUGCCAGCUAAUUCCUGGCCUGCAUGAAAGACGUAACGAUUGCCCCACUGUCUCCAGUAUGGACUCCGUGAAAUUGAACUCUCCGUGCAGAUGCGGAGAAUGUGCCCCAAGACGAGAAGACCCUAUGCAUCUUUACUGUACAUUUACACUGGAAAAAAGCUUGAAUUGUGUAGGAUAGGUGGGAGUUGUCAACACCCUUGAAAUACCACCCUUUUUAAGAGGAGUUCCUUAUUUGAAUAAUAUUCAAAAACACUGUAU